rnacentral:rRNA from 1 species
GAUGAACGCUGGCGGCGUGCCUAAUACAUGCAAGUCGAGCGAAUGGAUUAAGAGCUUGCUCCGGUGGAUUAGUGGCGAACAGGUGAGUAACACGUGAGUAACCUGCCCUUGACUCUGGGAUAACUGCGGGAAACUGUAGCUAAUACCGGAUACGACCCUCGGCGGCAUCGCCAGGGGGUGGAAAGAAUUUCGGUCAAGGAUGGACUCGCGGCCUAUCAGCUAGUUGGUGAGGUAACGGCUCACCAAGGCGACGACGGGUAGCCGGCCUGAGAGGGUGACCGUGCACACUGGGGCUGAAGCACGGCCCAGACUCCGACGGGAGUCAGCAGUGGGGAAUAUUGCACAAUGGGCGCAAUCCUGAUGCAGCAACGACGCGUGAGGGAUGACGGGCUUCGGGUUGUAAACCUCUUUUAGUAGGGAAGAAGCGAAAGUGACGGUACCUGCAGAAAAAGCACCGGCUAACUACGUGCCAGCAGCCGCAGGAA